rnacentral:lncRNA from 1 species
AGAAAAAACGCUUUAAAGCGUUUUGAACGUUCAGAUAGCAAACAGAAAUAACGUUUUCGUGACUUAAUGGGAAUGUUAUUAAACGUUCUAGAACAUAUUUUUGGUGGCUGAAAAAAGUCUACAGAUGAGAAAAGUCUCGCGGAUGCUUUUGAGAUACGGCCACAGAAUCUCAGUACAGUAACGUUACAUAGGAAAUGACUCAGAGGAGUUGAACCCAACGCGUGGGUGUGGGCCAUAGUGGGCGCUAUUAAAACAAGACUGAAAGUUUGGGGUGGGUCAUUCACACGCGCUGCUUUUGCUAUGCUUGAACCCCAUUUGUGGCUUUUAAUCUUUUGAAAUCGCUGUGGGAUUUCAAUAUAUAUAAAGCUCAAUGGAUUCCGGUGCUAUGUUGCGUUGCAUCUAUUGGAUUACUCUAUUGAUCGCCACUCUUAUUCAUGGAACAAACGCGGAUAAAAGUUCAGCCCUUUGUUUGAAAUCCGAAUUCUGGAACAGAGAUGUCGCACAAUGUGUACCUUGUCAAAUAUGCAAACAGUAUCCGAAAACUCCAUCAUGUGACACAUGCCCACCCAUAGAGCCUUCAGAUUCCUGGAGGGUGGCAGCAAUUACCAGUUUAUCUGUCCUGGCAGCCGUAAUUGUUUGCGGAGCCUUGCUCAUAGGCAUUCUAGUGCAUCAAUUCAGGUCCAAGAGGACUUUACGUGAACCGAUUGAAGAGACAACAGGACCCCUUUAUCAAGUAUAGGAUCUUCAUAAGGUAAGGGUUGAAAACGGCAACACUUCUUAGGAUGCUUCGAAAUGCGUUAAGGAAAUUAGUUUUGUUCAUAUGCAAUCUUUUAAAUGUUUUCAGCUCAUGGAACUCAAGCUGACGAAAAUGAAAAUGGACUGUUACUCCAGUGAAUUAAUGCUCCAGUUGGUAAACGCUGGCUAGUACCUCAACCACAGAGUGUUCUAUGAGUAGCAUCUGAUUUGUCUAACUUAUUACAUUAGUAGGCUAUGUCAUGCAUAGCAAAUGGUUAUGCACAAAAGCUGCACUGAGACCUUCCUUGUCACUCACUGUGCAGAAUAGGUUUGCAAGCCUUGGUGCUAAGUGACAUCCUAUGGACAGCAUGAUAGCACUGUUUUUGCAGAAAUUUGAGGUCAUUCAUGUUGCACUUAGUGCACUGUAGAUGCAUUCCCACUUGAAUAUUCCUUGUUAGAUUUGUGAACAUGAUAAACAAAUAACCACAAACCGUUUAAUAUAGUAGACUUAGAGAUCAACUUUUUUAUACAAAUAUGCCUCCCUAAACAGAUUUAGUAUGGCACAGCCAUUUGAAUGUAUUUGUAAUCAUUGUUUGUACAGUUUAAUUAUCUAUUUUUAUAGUGUUGGAAUACUACGCACUGUAUAGAUGUAGCCCUUUGUACAACAAUGUUCUGACACUGACUGGCUCAGCAGCCUGUCUAUAGCAUUGAUGAACGUUCUGGAGACACUGAAGACCAGCGAAGCAACAGAAGGUGAUAACCUGAAAGACAAGAGUCGCCAGCUGACAUUAACAAACUCUUUGAGAAAGAGUCGCAGGUGUCAGAUUCCAUCAGAUUUUUGCUGCCUUUAUACGCAUAAGAGAUUAGAUAGUUUAGAGUGAUAUUUACAUGUAAGUAGUGAUAUUUACAUACAUGCAAUACAUUUAAUCUCCCGUGUUUUAUAAUUUCAGCUUACUAAAAUGUUUUGAAACGCAGUUUUAGAUGCGUGUAGCCAGCUGUGGGCAUUAUGGAAUGUAUAUAUUUAUAUACAGCAGAUGCUGAGUAAUCAACUUGUUUGAAUGACAAGAGGUUAAUCUCAUGAAACCUGUGAAGAACAUGUUUGAGUAACAUUUCAACCCAGAAUCAAAAGAAUUCAAUAAGAAAUAUUUUGCUUAAAGAAUUUGUUGCAUUGUUUUCAAGAAAACUUAAGCACACUUUAUACCCCAGUUCCCAAGAAUACUUUAUGUCCAUUCAUGUUGCACUUAGUGCACUGUAGAUGCAUUCCCACUUGAAUAUUCCUUGUUAGAUUUGUGAACAUGAUAAACAAAUAACCACAAACCGUUUAAUAUAGUAGACUUAGAGAUCAACUUUUUUUAUACAAAUAUGCCUCCCUAAACAGAUUUAGUAUGGCACAGCCAUUUGAAUGUAUUUGUAAUCAUUGUUUGUACAGUUUAAUUAUCUAUUUUUAUAGUGUUGGAAUACUACGCACUGUAUAGAUGUAGCCCUUUGUACAACAAUGUUCUGACACUGACUGGCUCAGCAGCCUGUCUAUAGCAUUGAUGAACGUUCUGGAGACACUGAAGACCAGCGAAGCAACAGAGGGUGAUAACCUGAAAGACAAGACUCGCCAGCUGACAUUAACAAACUCUUUGAGAAAGAGUCGCAGGUGUCAGAUUCCAUCUGAUUUUUGCUGCCUUUAUACACAUAAGAGAUUAGAUAGUUUAGAGUGAUAUUUACAUGUAAGUAGUGAUAUUUACAUACAUGCAAUACAUUUAAUCUCCCGUGUUUUAUAAUUUCAGCUUACUAAAAUGUUUUGAAACGCAGUUUUAGAUGCGUGUAGCCAGCUGUGGGCAUUAUGGAAUGUAUAUAUUUAUAUACAGCAGAUGCUGAGUAAUCAACUUGUUUGAAUGACAAGAGGUUAAUCUCAUGAAACCUGUGAAGAACAUGUUUGAGUAACAUUUCAACCCAGAAUCAAAAGAAUUCAAUAAGAAAUAUUUUGCUUAAAGAAUUUGUUGCAUUGUUUUCAAGAAAACUUAAGCACACUUUAUACCCCAGUUCCCAAGAAUACUUUAUGUACCUCAUUGUGAAUCACUGCCAUGUUUGUCAGAAAUCUAGGAACAUCAAGAAGCUAGUCCAGAAUCUUUAUCGAUAAACAUAAACCUGUGAAGCAUGCACGGCGCUGUCACAGUCUUAAGAAAAGUUGGUUGUGUAUUUGUGCCUUUACUCAUUCACAAUUACUCCACAGACUGCAGAGGAAACUAUGCAUUUUAAUACAAUAAAGAGACAACUAACGUACUGUAUUUGUCUGUUGAUGUUUUU